AAGUCGUAACAAGGUCUCCGUAGGUGAACCUGCGGAGGGAUCAUUACCGAGUGAGGACCCCCGGCCCGACCUCCUCCCCUUUGUUGACCCGACACCUGUUGCCUCGUGGGGGACCCAGGCUCCGCGCCGCAUACCCCGGCGAACCGCUCCAACUCUGUGUCUGUACGUCGUAUUGAUUAGUGAAUCAAUCAAAACUUUCAACAACGGAUCUCUUGNUUCUGGCAUCGAUGAAGAACGCAGCGAAAUGCGAUAAGUAAUGUGAAUUGCAGAAUUCAGUGAAUCAUCGAAUCUUUGAACGCACACCGCGCCCUUUGGCAUUCCGAGGAGCAUGCCUGUUCGAGCGUCAUUACACCACUCAAGCCUGGCUUGGUAUUGGGCGGCGGGCCCUUCNCGCGCCUUAAUUUCUCCGGCUAGACGACCCGUAUCUCAGCGUUGUGGCAACAAAUUCGCUGGCGAGAGGGGUGGUCCGCGCCGUUAAAACUUCUAUCAAAGAUUGACCUCGGAUCAGGUAGGGAUACCCGCUGAACUUAAGCAUAUCACUAAGCGGAGGAAAAGAAACCAACAGGGAUUGCCCUAGUAACGGCGAGUGAAGCGGCAACAGCUCAAAUUUGAAAUCUGGCGCAAGCCCGAGUUGUAAUUUGUAGAGGAUGCUUCGGGGCAGCAGCCGGUCUAAGUUCCUUGGAACAGGACGUCAGAGAGGGUGAGAGUCCCGUACGUGACCGGCUGCACCCCACACGUAGCUCCUUCGACGAGUCGAGUUGUUUGGGAAUGCAGCUCUAAAUGGGAGGUAAAUUUCUUCUAAAGCUAAAUACCGGCCAGAGACCGAUAGCGCACAAGUAGAGUGAUCGAAAGAUGAAAAGCACUUUGGAAAGAGAGUUAAAAAGCACGUGAAAUUGUUGAAAGGGAAGCGCUUGCAACCAGACUUGUUAACGGUGUUCCGCCGGUCUUCUGACCGGUCCACUCGCCGUCUGCAGGCCAGCAUCGUCUGGAGCCGCCGGAUAAAGGCGUUGGGAACGUAUCUCUCUUCGGGGAGUGUUAUAUCCCUUCGUGCAAUACGGCGCGCCUCGGGCGAGGUCCGCGCUUCGGCUUGGAUGCUGGCGUAAUGGUCGUAAGCGGCC
rnacentral:rRNA from 1 species